rnacentral:rRNA from 1 species
ACGAACGCUGGCGGCGUGCUUCACACAUGCCCGUCGAACGGAAAGGCCCUGCUUUUGUGGGGUGCUCGAGUGGCGAACGGGUGAGUAACACGUGAGUAACCUGCCCUUGACUUUGGGAUAACUUCAGGAAACUGGGGCUAAUACCGGAUAGGAGCUCCUGCUGCAUGGUGGGGGUUGGAAAGUUUCGGCGGUUGGGGAUGGACUCGCGGCUUAUCAGCUUGUUGGUGGGGUAGUGGCUUACCAAGGCUUUGACGGGUAGCCGGCCUGAGAGGGUGACCGGCCACAUUGGGACUGAGAUACGGCCCAGACUCCUACGGGAGGCAGCAGUGGGGAAUAUUGCACAAUGGGCGGAAGCCUGAUGCAGCAACGCCGCGUGCGGGAUGACGGCCUUCGGGUUGUAAACCGCUUUCGCCUGUGACGAAGCGUGAGUGACGGUAAUGGGUAAAGAAGCACCGGCUAACUACGUG